AGUGAACGCUGGCGGUAGGCCUAACACAUGCAAGUCGAACGGCAGCACAGUAAGAGCUUGCUCUUACGGGUGGCGAGUGGCGGACGGGUGAGGAAUACAUCGGAAUCUACUUUUUCGUGGGGGAUAACGUAGGGAAACUUACGCUAAUACCGCAUACGACCUACGGGUGAAAGCAGGGGAUCUUCGGACCUUGCGCGAUUGAAUGAGCCGAUGUCGGAUUAGCUAGUUGGCGGGGUAAAGGCCCACCAAGGUGACGAUCCGUAGCUGGUCUGAGAGGAUGAGCAGCCACACUGGAACUGAGACACGGUCCAGACUCCUACGGGAGGCAGCAGUGGGGAAUAUUGGACAAUGGGCGCAAGCCUGAUCCAGCCAUACCGCGUGGGUGAAGAAGGCCUUCGGGUUGUAAAGCCCUUUUGUUGGGAAAGAAAAGCAGCAGGUUAAUACCCCGCUGUUCUGACGGUACCCAAAGAAUAAGCACCGGCUAACUUCGUG
rnacentral:rRNA from 1 species